CGGGCUCAACCCCGGAACUGCCUUUGAUAACUGGUAGUCUUGAGUUCGAGAGAGGGUGAACAGGAAAUUCCGAGUGUAGAGGUGAAAUCGUAGAUAUUUCGGGAGGAAACACCCAGUGGCGAAGGCGGCUCACUGGCUCGAUACUGACGCUGAGGUGCGAAAAAGUGGGGAGCAAACAGGAUUAGAUACCCUGGUAGUCCACGCCGUAAACUAUGAGAGCUAGCCGUCGGGCAGUAUACUGUUCGGUGGCGCAUCAAACGCAUUAAGCUCUCCGCCUGGGGAGUACGGUCGCAAGAUUAAAACUCAAAGGAAUUGACGGGGGCCCGCACAACCGGUAGAGCAUGUGGUUUAAUUCGAAGCAACGCGCAGAACCUUACCAGCCCUUGACAUCCCGAUCGCGGUUACCAGAGAUGGUUUCCUUCAGUUAGGCUGGAUCGGUGACAGGUGCUGCAUGGCUGUCGUCAGCUCGUGUCGUGAGAUGUUGGGUUAAGUCCCGCAACGAGCGCAACCCUCGCCCUUAGUUGCCAUCAUUCAGUUGGGCACUCUAAGGGGACUGCCGGUGAUAAGCCGAGAGGAAGGUGGGGAUGACGUCAAGUCCUCAUGGCCCUUACGGGCUGGGCUACACACGUGCUACAAUGGUGGUGACAGUGGGCAGCGAGACCGCGAGGUCGAGCUAAUCUCCAAAAGCCAUCUCAGUUCGGAUUGCACUCUGCAACUCGAGUGCAUGAAGUUGGAAUCGCUAGUAAUCGUGGAUCAGAAUGCCACGGUGAAUACGUUCCCGGGCCUUGUACACACCGCCCGUCACACCAUGGGAGUUGGUUUUACCCGAAGGUGCUGUGCUAACCGCAAGGAGGCAGGC
rnacentral:rRNA from 1 species